ACUCUGCUGCGACGGUUGUUUGAAUCCUCGGCGUCUGCGGAAGGAAGUGUGGAUGGAGCUCGGUGUGCAAGGCUUGACAAGCGGAACUGGCUGCUGCAGCUGCGUGUUGUAGAGGUCUUUUUGUCCCCCAUUUCACGCCAGCGUAAGCCGCUUGCGGCAAGAAAACGUCUGCAACGAUUAGUCGCCCUUGCCAAGGGAGACGGCGACAGGAACCGCUCGCCGCGCCUCUCUGCUCUCGAAGGGAGGGGCGGACGAUGUUUUCCGAUGGCGCUCGAAGAGUGUUAGCUGCUCUCUUUGCCUGCCAGUGGGGGUUUAUUCUGAGCAUUAUUUUCAGGUGCACAAGCAUCCGGUGCAAUCUCCGCCCCGUCCCGAAUGCAUGAGUGCCCUUGAGAAAGUUUCGAAUGGAAAACAAUAAAAAGAUGAAACUCAUCUGCCCAAACUGCACGAAACCUACUUUCCACUGAACAAUUUGGUUUUGUUUUUUUUACAACUGCACAAAAUGUGAUCAGCUGGACAUUACAGGUCUGUAAUGUAUUAGUAAAAACUACAGUGCUGAAAAUAAAUACUCGGUUUCUCUAAA